AGUGCUUGUGUUCCUGAGUGUAGGUUCUGAGCUAUUAGGUUACUACAGACUACAGAGAUACAACGUGAAAUCUCCACCUCUUUAUGCCUGGGGAGGAAUUGCUGCCUAAGGAUGCCAGUGGAAACAUUAUUUUUGAUACUGUGGAUCUUCGUGACACAUGGGAGGCCCUGGAGAAGUGCAAAGAAGCAGGUUUAACCAAGUCCAUCGGGGUGUCCAAUUUCAAUCACAAACUGCUGGAACUCAUCCUCAACAAGCCAGGGCUCAAGUACAAGCCCACCUGCAACCAGCAGGUGGAAUGUCACCCUUACCUCAACUAGAGCAAACUCCUGGAGUUCUGCAAGUCCAAGGACAUUGUUCUAGUUGCCUACAGGGCCCUGGCAUCUCACAGAGACCCAAACUGGUAAUAAGAGUAUCGAAGAGUUAAUCUAUAUCAGCAACUCUAUUGAUUAAGAAACUUUUAGCAUUUCAUUCUAGAUCAAGUCAAACAUAGAACAGUGAACACAACGGUGCAGUGAAUUCCCAUGUGACACCACUGAGCUUCAAUGUCACCAACAUUCCUUCCCUCCUGUUUCAUUUGUAUAUCUGCCUUCUCCCAACCCCACUCCAAAUACAAUUUCAAAGUGAUUUGAAGGUGAAAUUUACAUAGACUGUAAUGCAUAUACGUUAGCUGUACAAUUUUGAUAAAUGAAUGUACUUUGUAAUCCACAUUAUUGUCAUGAUAUGGAAACUUUCUCCCAAAAAUGUUAAUUGGUGUUCCUUCUGAGACAAUUCCUCCCCACCUCUAGGCAACUAUGUUCAUAACGUUUUCGGUCUUAGAUUAGUUUUGUCUGCUGUAGUACUUUAUGUAAAGAAGUCAUAUAUAUUCUUUGGUGUAGCUUCUUUUGCUCAACCUGUCUGUGACAUUCAUUCCUGUAGUUGCAGGUGUCUGUUCUUUCCAUUUUACUGCUGGGAAAUAUUCCAUUAUAUGGACAUGUACACCACAAGUUGUUUAUCCAUUCACCUAUUGAUGGGCAGUUUAGUUGUUUCCAGUUUGCCACAAUUGCGAAUAAAUCUCUAUGAAUAUUUAUGAGACAC
rnacentral:lncRNA from 1 species